UACAGAGGUCUCAAGCGUUGUUCGGAUUCAUUGGGCGUAAAGGGUGCGUAGGUGGCGCGCUAAGUCAGGUGUGAAAUUUCGGAGCUUAACUCCGAAACUGCAUUUGAUACUGGCGUGCUUGAGGACUGGAGAGGAGACUGAAUUCAUGGUGUAGCAGUGAAAUGCGUAGAGAUCAUGAGGAAGACCAGUGGCGAAGGCGGGUCUCUGGACAGUUCCUGACGCUGAGGCACGAAGGUCAGGGGAGCAAACGGG
rnacentral:rRNA from 1 species